UGAGGAACAUGACCUUCGGCGGGGGAUAGCCGGCCCAACGGCCGGGUAAUACCGCGUACGACCACUUUGGGACAUCCCUCGGUGGUGAAAGCAGCAAUGCGCCGAUGGAGUGCCUCGCGGCCUAUCAGCUAGUUGGUGAGGUAACGGCUCACCAAGGCGACGACGGGUAGCUGGUCUGAGAGGAUGGCCAGCCACAUUGGGACUGAGACACGGCCAGACUCCGUACGGGGAGCAG
rnacentral:rRNA from 1 species